rnacentral:lncRNA from 1 species
GAACUUAAUAUCCCUCAUUAUGCUGCCUGUGACCUGUAUUCCUGGUGGGCAGCUGAAUCUUUGAGUUGAGCUCCAGAAGGUGGUGGAUAGCAGGCAAAAGAGUUUGAAUUGGUGUGGUAGCCAAGCACAAAGCUUCUUUCACAGUCCAGUUUCAAUCGUAAUCUGUGCCCUGAAGGAUUUCUCCUCAGGAUAAGGGAGAGGAUGUGUUUAAAAAAAUAUAUAUGCUUUCUGUACUUAGGGAUGUUGCCUUCAUGUCAUCUUUACCAAGUUCUCCAAGGAUGGACACGAUGAGAUUACCCUGCCUGCCAGAGCCUCAAACUGUGUACAUUGAUUUAAGAGAUGCUAAACCACAGAAGUCAGUAACGUUCCAUGAUGAGAACCAAAGUGCAGGUGACAGCUCCACUGAAGAAGAAGAAGAGACUGUGACAAUUAAGGACCAAACAGAAAGGAGGAUGAGGAAUUGCUCAGGGAAAAGCUUGCUACUGCAACAACUCCGUACAGCCCGUAAAGAAGCCUCAGAGCUUCUUCAUGAUGCACCUACCCCAGCUGAAAGACUCAGAGGCACAAAACAAGAUCCAGAAAGCCUGGAAGAGAUGGGUGCCUCUAAACUCAGUCAAAAACAAUAUCGUAAACUGAGAGAAGAGACAACAAAGGUGAUUUCCAGGAAACUGAGACUGCAACCAGAGAAAAUAAAUGUCCCCUUGUCAAGUCAGGGGAGCAAUGGAGCUGACAUAGAAAGAAAAAGCAAAGUAGAAGCUGAGAACGUUCAACAUUCAGGAAACGUUCCAGAGUCUCCUCUACCCGCAACAGAAUUGCCAAGGACAGAAGAAAGUAAGAUAGAACUAUCUCAAAAGGAAGAACAGAUGAAAGAGAAACACAGGAGACACAGAUUCCAGGAGCAGCUGGAGAGAUUGCAGCCUCAUCAGUCAGUUACUGGAAAGCAGCCCAUGGCAGAGAAAACACCGGUUUUGUUCCACAUGGAAGCCUCUUAUUUGCCAGAUAUUGACACAUUACCUAGAUCGGCCCCUAUGAAAAAUGAGGUGCUGCUUAUGACAAUUCGGCUGUCAAGUUGUGGCCAGAUAUCUACAGAUCAGUGCAGUGGGCAGGUGCCUAACGUAGAGCUGAGAGCAGCCGACAUCUACAAUGCCCUUGUGACGUGGCUUCUGUCUCUGGUGCCUCCUGUGAGAAUUAAAGGUGGACCCAAAGCUCCGUUUCAGGUGGUAGGGCUACAGCAGGCCUGGCAAGAGGAUGGAUUGGCCCUAUAUGCUUGUCUAAUGCCACCAGAUGAAUCUCCAGCCCAAAACAGCACCAAGAUCCAGAAGAUUAAAACUGAAGAAGAUCUCCAAGGAAUAUCCAUUUUUUACCAGAGGAUUACUGAAUUUCUAUCCUGUACAGUGGCUUCCAGAUGUUAUUUGGUGGAGACCUGA